UGCUAUAAAGAAAAACUACUCACACAAGUCAUAUCUUGUGCAGGUUGAUAUGGGAGGAGUACCAGCAACACUGGUUAAUAUUGUGUCAAGACGUCAGCCAUUAGCAGUGGCAUAUUUAUGUGAUUAUUUAGAAACAACUAGUUUAAAUU